UAUCAUAUUCCCUUUCCCUCUGCCUUACGCCAAGUUGAUGACUUCCCCCAUAUUCAUUUAUCCUUCAACGCCUAGUAGUUGCUCUCCCAUUUCUCACUCAUCAACACCAGCCAUGUAAGUUUGUAAUAUGAAAACUUUUAAUAUGUUUCAAUUUUUUUGGUCCCAAGAUUUUGGGUAUCAUUGCCACAAUAAUGAUUAGGUGAGCUAUACAAAUUCGUAUAUAUGCAAAUGAUAUUUUUCUUCUAGAUAUAAAAGUUUGAGGUGCAACACCUUGCUCUUCCUUCUUGAUGCCAAUUUUUAGACUACAACUCUUCACUCUCUAAUUUCAUCAUUUCAGUGCAAGGUAUGGCGAGAAAGUAUAGCACGAAGUACAAAAAAAGGAAAUCAUCAACACCUUAUCAAAAGGGACUGACUUUUUCCAAGGUAAUAAAAUCAGGCACCUUAUCAAAAAUUGUGCAACUAAAUUUUAUUUAAUUUUAUUUGUCUCUAAUAAAAGUUUAGUAUAGAUUAUGCCAAAGAGUGCUGCUAAAAAUACAACAUUUAGUACUAAUGAAGAAUGUGUUUUUAUAAGGUGUGUUUUAAUUUGUCUGGAUAUUAAAUUUGAUCUUUAAUUUUGUUUUCUUGUUUUUAUUAUUGUUAUCUACAUAAAUAUUUUAACAUUUUUAUAUAUCUAUCUUUCCUCUUAUAUUUUUAAGAGGAAAUUACUGAGAAUAUAAAGGAAGUCGCUGAUAAUAGGAAAGAGCUUUCUGAGAAUAGAAAGGAGCUUUCUGAGAAUAGGAAGGAGCUUUCUGAGAACAAGAUAGAGUAUUCUGAGCGUAGGAAAGAAAUUUCUAUUUUUGAAAAAAAAUUAGAUGAGUUUCGUGAAAAUAUUAAUAAUCUCGUUGGAAUGAAAGAUGAUGCCAAACAUGUUGAAGAUCUUCUCCGAGCAUUGUGUAAUCAACAAGAGAAGGACAAAGAAAGAACUAAAGUGGAAGAGAAAGAAUUGGCUGCACAAAGGGACUUGGAGGAGUGUAUCAAUGAUUUAAAAUCCGGGAGAAUCGUUCUUCGCAGUCCAGAUUGUGUGGCUCCUUCUAUAUCAAUUUUAAAAACUGACAUACAAGUAUAAACAAUUCAUUUUCAUUUACCUUUAUGCA